GAAGAGAGAGUUCAAGAGUACGUGAAACCGUCUGGGAGUAAACGGGUGGUUCCCGAAAGUGCGAAAGGGGAGAUUCAGGUCUCGCCGCGCGCCGGGCCGUUCCCGCGACAAGGGAUGGCGUUCUCGCGACCGUGGGGCGACCCUCGGUCCGGGANNNUGGCCACUCCGCGGGUGNGNUGCUCCCCGGCGCCGGAGUGACGCACUUCUCCCCCGGUAGAACGUCGCGAUCCGUCGGUCGCCGGCCUAAGGCCCCGGGUGGAGUCUGUGCGGUUCGCCGCGCACGACCCCGGGAGUCCGGGCCGGUCGUCCGACGGCAUGAAGAGAGGAAGGAGUCGACGCGCCUCCAUAAGGUAGGCGUCCGCCCCUCCGCAAGCGCCCGCGGGAGUGAGAGUUACCGGGCCCGGCCCGGUCUCCUUCUUCAGCGGGGCUNNNUNNGAUCCGGAGGUGUGCUCGGAC
rnacentral:rRNA from 1 species